GAGGCGCAUGCGCAGUUCUGUGCCCUGCUCUGAGGCGGGUUGGGGGGGGCGCUGCUCUCGGGCCGGAGGGGAUGAAACCUCCGUUUGUGUUUACGGAUGUGCAGCGGCACUGUGGGGUUCCUCCGUGUUCGUCCCAGAGAGGCGAGCCUUGGCGUGUUUCUGCUACCUGUCCAUCAGUAAUCUGACCCAGCCCGUAGCUCACAGAAGGCCUCGGUGCAUUCAGUGAGAGCUUCCAGAUGGCCCCUACUUCUGGAGAACAUCUGGAGCUGCCGUGAGAUAGCAGCUUUUCAACUGAGAUUACAGAGAGGAGAAAGCUGAAUGCCCAUCACUGCCCAGCUCAAAGCCUAAGAUGACAAGGGGAUGGCUGAAAACAGCUCUGGAACCUCUGGAACUGAAAUACACGUUUGGUAAUAUCUGAUUCAAGAUUGGCUGACAGGAUGACAGCAGCCUGCUGACAGAGCAGCUACAGCCUCCUGCCUUGGAGAUGAUGGAUAGUUUGUGGACAUGACGGAUAGUUUGUGGAGAUGACAGAGCAGUAGUAUGAUGAGAACUGAUGGAUGAGAGCAGCAAGUAUCUGGCUUCAGAGAAACUAGACGGGCUUUCCCCGAGGGCUGAAGGAGGAUGGUUAGAAGGGACAGUCCCGUGAUUCUCUGGCUACAGGGACAAAAACAGACUUGGAACAACUCAGACUUCCUUAUCUGCCUGUUCUGUCCCCUUUGCUGCUUCUCUCAAAUGAUUUGGGGGCCAUGCAUUGCAAAUUAAGCUAAUGUUGUGUUCCAGGCUAAGAAUAAUCUCCCCAGACAAGGAAAAAGGACAAGAAAACAGGGACAAGAACAGUGUCCUAAUGUACUUUUUUCAGUUCCCAUCACAGUAACCCUCUGUCGUCUCUUGGCAUCAUCUUAACUCUCAUCCUGUAGGUCCUGGUGAGGUACUUCCCUCAAGUACAGGUGCAGAGGUGUCUCACCAGUGAGCCUGCAGGCACAAACCAAACCAUGCUGUUGUCACAACUUUUGAGAUGCUCGCCUUUUCCAGACAGCACAGACCUCUAGUCUGCUUUGGCCUCUCUCAGGUCCCUUAAAGCAUCUCUUGGUGACAUCUGGGACACUGUAAGACAGAGCUGCAGCCAUUUCGGCUCAGCACAGCAGGGACAGCAGAGAUUUCCGUGCCUUUUGCUGAUAUGAGAGCAAACUCAAGGCCAUGCAACCGCAUCUUUCCCACCUCCCCCUCCCAGUUCCAAAUUUCUGCACUGCAGUGCAGCCUUGAUGGCAGCAAGCCCUGGCUUGCGGCUUCUCUUUCGAGCGCUUGAGGGCACUGUUGGAAUUUGGAACGAGGCUGAUCUGUGGGGUGAAGGAUUUGUUUCCUGCCACGCCAUGCAGAGGCACAUCAGGUUGCCAGGACUCUGGCUUCCACUGGAAGCCUUGCUGCUUGCAGGGAGGUGGACCGCUGGCACAACUACAUGCACCCAGACCCACUUCCUAAUGCCCUAAAGAACAUCACACUUUCCAAAGAGCAUCUUCAGCUUCUCCAGCAGGUCUGUGACCUGAUUCACCCCUAGAAAAUCCAGUUCCCAGGUUCUGUGGUUGCUAUCGCUGGGAUCGCUUGUCUGGGAUCUGUUACUAAAAGUGAUCAGGUUUCUUCCUGUUCUUUCACAGACAGCUUAGAAUUUCAGGAGAUUCCUUUCAGGAUGGGGCAUUGCCCUUAUCUUCAGCUGGGCAUCAGUGUUCAGCCCUGGUGCCCCUCCAGGCAUGACUUCAUCCCCAGCUCAACAUGCCUAGGCAUCUGUCCAUGAUGUCAGCUCUUAAGUCCCCCAGUAUUAGUGCCUGGCCUCCUUUAAUCCAAACCCCACCCAAAAUGUAGCCCGGAACUCACCCCUCACGUGCUGUAGGAGUAGCUGCUAUCUAUCACACUAUUUGUGAUCUCACCAACCUUGCAGUACAAAUUACUGUCCCACCUCCAGUACCCCUUCCUGUUGGGAUCUUUGUAGCAUCCCUUGAGCCUCUCCUUCCAGCCUUGUUGGUUCUCUAAUAAACCAAAAGACUGCAGAUUCAUAUGCGUGUGUGGUGCAAGACAUGCCCAGUUCAACUCAUACUUACAGUCUCAGAGCUAAUCUCCCAAGCCCCUCAAUAGCAGCUUCUUCAUGGUGACCUGGGAUCACUGGGUGUAUGCACUGUGGUGAGCUGGUGGGUUCAUUGCCUGCCAGAGGGCACUGAGCACAAAACAGUUCCUAUCACUAAUGCAUUUUUCCAUCUACUGUAUUCCCUUCUGUCUGCUACACAACACUCAGCCAGCAUGUCUCAAACACCAGCAGCUACUGCUUGUUAGCAAUCAUUUCUCAUAACUGUUAGUCUUGUGACAUUUCCUUUGUGUUAGAUCUGCUUCUCUCAGCUUCUCCCCUACACAUUCCUCUUUACUACCUCAGCAGGCUCACGCUGAUGCAGACUUCCCUGCUCCAGAAUCAAAUAUCUAUUUCUUCUCCCAUGUCUUAGGUAAAAAACAAUAUCUCCGUGCUCUGGUGACAGCACCCAUCAACACCUCUCUCAGCUGUUCUACUGCUUCAUACACCAUUCCUGGCCUGAAGGGUCUGUUCUUCCAGAAAUCAUAUUCUCAUUUAGAUAAUAAAGGGUUUUUCUUUCAUUAUCCCAUCUUUACUCCCCGUGGCCAGCUCUGCACAUGGCCUCUUUUGCCUUCCAUACAUGUGCACUGGUUUGUCAGCGUUCCAGCAUCCUCGGUGGUCUGGGUCCCUCCAUUUGUCCAUUUGCUCUGUUUCUAGGUGCUGAUUUGUUUUCCUAUUAAUCUCCCUCCCUCCCUUGCUGCAACUCUCCCAAGACAGACCACAGCCAAUAUGUUUCAUGUAUCACAUGCUGCAUAAUAACACAAGGGAAAGGGACUCCACGCCUGUAACCCAGUUCUAAGAGCUAUUUCCAGGGGUGGCAGGUGCUGGCGGGGCUCCAGCCAUGUGCUCUCAUGCUGACUUAGCUGCUCUCCCUCCAAACUGCCCCCUGGGGCACAUGUCCCUCCGCACGUCCCACCCCAGUUGCUGCAAGGACCAUGUUCCUGUUAGGACAGAGCCUCCUACUAGUCCCCUUUUUGGCCCUCAGCACACACAGGCUGCUGCAUGCCAGUGCUCCCACCACAACAUUUUGCUUUCUCUGGAGGUGCAGAGGAUGGAGACUUCCAGUGUUGCCAAGUGCAGAGGUAGCACCAUGGGUUUCUUUCCAGUCAGCAGGGUUGAGCUGCAGAAAAAAAAAAGGGCUUGAUAUUCUCCACCACUCAGCCACACAGGUAGACUUGUGCCCUGCAUACCUGCAUGGGAAUAGUCCUGCUUCUAAAACUCCAUCACAUAGGAAGGUUUCAUCUGUAGUGCCUCAAACACUUCCAGAGGGUCAUUUCUCAUGGACUGGGACUUAUCCCCUGGGGUCAAUGGAGACGCAGUAGGAGAGGUCCUUAUGGUGUCACGCAGCAAGGUGGGACCUAUCCCCAGCAACCAGCAGCCUGCAUGCCAUCCUUUCAGUAUCCCAGUCCCAAAGCCUGGCAGGACAUUUUGGGAAGUGGUGUUGCAUAGCUGGCUCUUUUAUCAGGGAAAAUCAGCAUAUGGAGUUGCUGGUAAUCAUUUCUCUAUCAUCAUGCCACAGCUGCUUGUCCCUGCCAUGUGCUGACACAGUUACUCGUGCUAAAGAUUGAGCUGUGGAGGUAAAUAUAACCCAGACCAAUAACUCUGUCUGCUCUCUGUUGCAACCCACACUCAGGUGAACGGGGGCAGUGGAGGGAUGUUGAGGUGUGAGAGGAAGGAGGGGAAUUAAUACAGUCACCUCUGUCACAUGCUGAGUUACUCCAUCUGUGGUGAGAGGGUGCAAAGGGGCUGCUAGUUUGGCUACUAGGGAAUGGUAGCUGUCGUGAUCAGGGCUCAGCAAUCACUCUGUUUGCUGACUAACUUGUGGACUGAAAGACUGCUACCCAGAAAAUGCAGUUCACAAGGAGUAUUUUUUCUGUAUUUUUCCUUAUUGGCUCACAUUUGGGUCAUUUCUAAGGCUCCAGAUUCCUCACCACGUGGGGAGGGCAUGCUCCUGGGCAGAGGAAAGCUGAUCUGCAUCCUUCUGGGUACAGGAGCCCCAUCUGGCUCUCCUGGGGCACAGCAAACCUGGCUGACACUAUUAAAGCACAGAGACCCGGCUGUGGCUGCAGCAACCCUGCCUGACAGCACAAUUCCUGUACAAAUCACCGGGUCAUGGAAGUCACAGCAUUUAUAAAUACUGAUCCUGACUUUGGGGAAGCUGAGCAUUUUGGAGAGGGAGGCUUUUCCAAAUAGUAUUAAAUAGAGAUGUCGGAGUUAUUUUGGGUUCUGUCAACAGCGUGGGUCUGUGUGGCUGUCCUGUGUGCAGUACAUCAGCCUGGUGAUGCUGCCUGCUGCUCUCUCCCCCUUGGCACUUCAGAAGGGGCUCUGUGUCCCUGGGCUCCAGCAGCUCGAGGCCAUGCCCACUGCCUAGGGGAGUGUGUUCCAUGCCCACCACCCUCUGGAGCAGAUAAUGCAAGAUUCAGCAUUGAAAGCUUUGCUGAAAUACCGAAAGAUUGCGUUGACGCAUUUGCCUUGGUCAACUAUAUGGGUAACCUUGUCAUAAAAGGAAAUUAAGUGAGUAAUCUCCUGGGAUGGGGAACCUCCAGAAAGAGGAAGUGUUUCAAUCAUGGUAAUUGGUUUCAAAUUCAACCACAGCAUCCGAAGUCGCCAUUGAAGAUCAGAGCUCCCAAGUGGAGCUAGAGGGACACCCUAUGACCUGUCCUGGGACCCUGUGAACCAGAGGUCUUCCUCUCUGUGGAAUUUUAGAGACCUAAGUGUGAUUUGGGUCAGCAUCGGGAGAAGAAAUGCCCUCUCAUCUCUGGACAGAAAUGUGCAUCCGUUGCAUCACACAAGUAUGGAGACAGCCAAGGCUGUCAGCUCUCCAUUGCCAUUCGUUGCAGUGGCCCAUAUACAUAAUAGCAAGGUGCAAUACAGUAGCCACAUGGUGUACUGUGAUGCCAAACUGGGUUCCUGAAUCAACAGCAGGCAAGUCCCCAGCACCCUUCUAGGCAGAGGUAGUAGAGCUUGGGAGGAACCAGCUCUGAGCUCGACCCCAUGGAGAAGGGCAGGGUUAGGUCAAACCUAGCAGGUGCUAUGGGAACAAGCACUGGGCUGGCACAUACUCAUUCUGAUCUCUCCUUUCUUAUUGAGCUCUACAUCUCAAGAACAAGUGGUGUUUCUCGCGCAUCAGUAUUGGGAGCAGUGCUGUUUAACAUCUUAGCUGUCAAAAUGGACAGUCACACACAGUUCUGUCCUGCACCACCUCCUUCUGGAUUCCCCUGGCACUGUGGACGGGAGUUGGCCUCUUGGACUCCCCUGCCUUGACCCAGCA